rnacentral:rRNA from 1 species
UACGUAGGGUCCGAGCGUUGUCCGGAAUUAUUGGGCGUAAAGGGCUCGUAGGCGGCCAACUAAGUCGGAUGUGAAAUCCCCAGGCUCAACCUGGGAACUGCAUCCGAUACUGGAUGGCUUGAAUUCGGGAGAGGGAUGCAGAAUUCCAGGUGUAGCGGUGAAAUGCGUAGAUAUCUGGAGGAAUACCGGUGGCGAAGGCGGCAUCCUGGACCGACAUUGACGCUGAUGAGCGAAAGCUAGGGAGCAAACGGG